GUUCUGGGGCUGUAGCUCAGUGGUAAAGCGUGUGACUAGCAUGCACAAGGCCCUGGGCUCAAUCCCUAGAACCAGGACA
rnacentral:tRNA from 1 species